rnacentral:tRNA from 1 species
GAAUCUGACUGGGAUAACGAGAACUGCUAAUUACUCGCCACUAUGGUUCGAUUCCAUAGCAAAUUCA